GAGUGGCCAGUUGCCCGCCGCUGAGAAUGAAGCUCAGAGCAUCUGGGCUUAAGCCGGUUCAGCUCAGAGGUGGGUUUCGGAAGUCUGUGGCGGACCACCGCAGCAAGUCACCACUCAGCGUACAAGCCUUUCCAUUUCUGAAAAUAUAAAGAACUUAAGCAUGCGGCGUUCGGAGUGUAGAUUGCUUUGAGGUAUUUCAAAGCAGCGCUGAUCAUGGGCAGAGGAGCUGAUAUGUGCAACAGAAACUACUCACUGGAACUCUUCUGGUAAAGAAGCCAGAAUUAUAAAAUGGAAAAAAAAAGCAUCUUCAAAAGGUGGUGCUGGCCUAACUGGAUGUCUGCAUGUACAAGAAUGCAAAUAGAGCCAUACCCAUCACCCUGUAUAAAACUGGAGUCCAAGUGGAUGAAAGACCUCAACAUAAAACCAGAUAC
rnacentral:lncRNA from 1 species